rnacentral:rRNA from 1 species
UCCAGACUCCUACGGGAGGCAGCAGUGAGGAAUAUUGGUCAAUGGGCGGGAGCCUGAACCAGCCAAGUCGCGUGAGGGAAGACGGUCCUAUGGAUUGUAAACCUCUUUAGGCGGGGAGCAAUGCCGGGCACGCGUGCCCGGAGGGAGAGUACCCGCAGAAUAAGCAUCGGCUAACUCCGUGCCAGCAGCCGCGGUAAUACGGAGGAUGCGAGCGUUAUCGGGAAUUAUUGGUUUGAAAGGGUGCGUAGGGGGCCGUAGAAGUGGGGGGAAAAACCCGGGGGCAAACCCGGGGAAGCCGUUGAAACUGUCGGACUAGAGACGGCGAGAAGGGCGCGGAAUGCGCGGUGUAGAGGUGAAA